rnacentral:rRNA from 1 species
GUGGGGAAUAUUGGACAAUGGGCGAAAGCCUGAUCCAGCCAUGCCGCGUGUGUGAAGAAGGUCUUCGGAUUGUAAAGCACUUUAAGUUGGGAGGAAGGGUAGUAACCUAAUACGUUGCUACUUUGACGUUACCGACAGAAUAAGCACCGGCUAACUUCGUGCCAGCAGCCGCGGUAAUACGAAGGGUGCAAGCGUUAAUCGGAAUUACUGGGCGUAAAGCGCGCGUAGGUGGUUUUGUAAGUUGGAGGUGAAAUCCCCGGGCUCAACCUGGGAACUGCCUCCAAAACUGCAUGACUAGAGUACGGUAGAGGGUGGUGGAAUUUCCUGUGUAGCGGUGAAAUGCGUAGAUAUAGGAAGGAACACCAGUGGCGAAGGCGACCACCUGGACUGAUACUGACACUGAGGUGCGAAAGCGUGGGGAGCAAACAGGAUUAGAAACCCCUUGUAGUCC